UGAAUUUCGGGAUUAUUGGUUUGGUCGUGCCACUGGUAUGUACUCCGCUUACAGCCUUACACUUCCUGAUGAACCGUAAUGCCAUUAAUUUGGUGUUGCGGGGAGACUGGACUGUUACUUUGAAAAAAUUAGAGUGUUUAAAGCAGGCUAACGCUUGAAUACAUUAGCAUGGAAUAAUGAAAUAGGACGUUCGAUCCUAUUUUGUUGGUUUCUAGGAUUGACGUAAUGAUUAAUAGGGAUAGUUGGGGGCAUUAGUAUUCAAUUGUCAGAGGUGAAAUUCUUGGAUUUAUUGAAGACUAACUACUGCGAAAGCAUUUGCCAGGGAUGUUUUCAUUAAUCAAGGACGAAAGUUAGGGGAUCGAAGACGAUCAGAUACC
rnacentral:rRNA from 1 species